CACACUGGUGGAAACCACAUUCCAUUUGCGGACGUGUGGAUGCCUCUGAUUGGCCCAUCUCCAAGGUCGAUUCCCCCCUGCCCACUCCAUCACUCUGAGGAAAAUGCAACUUUGAAGUGAAGUGAGACUUAGGCCUACUCCCUGACCUUUGGCCCAUCAUGGCGUCAGUCCU